AGUAAUACCAUAUUAUAACAACAAAGUAAAAAAAUAAAAUUUAAAAAAAAAAGUUAGAGCUAAAGAAACGAUGAUUUUGAUGAUCGGGAAUUUCCGUAACGCGUUCGGCAAUUUCCGCCGCUAUUUUACCCCGAUGACGUAUGUGUGCACCACUGCGCAUGACGAAUAUUCCCAUGUUAUGUACAGUAUGCACUGAAGCAUGCAAAUUUCCCUCAAAACUUCAAGGAUUACAAGACUGUGUUGAUCAUUCACUUGCAUAUACUUAAUUUAUAAUCUCUUUUGUGUUGAUUACGAGUCGAACUUUUACAUGACAUUGAGGAUUUACUGAUUUACAAGAUGGUUCAAUGUGCAGCGUUUGGCUGCAAUGCUCGUUCUGAAAAGCAAACGGAGAAGUAAGGAUUCUUCGGCUUCUCAAAGGACGAAAGUAUUAAGCGGAAAUGGAUUCUAUCCGUGAAUUCACGAAGGAUUAUCGACGGAAAGGUGGUGGACUUUACGCCAAGCAAAUAUGCAAAACUCUGCAUAAAACAUUUUGAAGAUAAGUGCUUUGUCCACCCCCCCCCCCCCCCCCCCCGAGUGUGAUGGCGAGUGCGGGCUUUGGGAUGAGACUGUCGCUGCAUCCUGAUGCAGUGCCAACUUUGUUCCCUGACACGGACAACUUCAAGGCAUUACAGCCGAAAGCCCUAAGGCCAGACGAGUUAGGAGCCCCCAAACGGAAACGUGACAACUAUGGUGCUUUUGCCAAGAGAAAUCGCAAAACGGCUCGAAGGCGCACAAGGAAUUACUGUUGGUCAUCGGAAGCAAGUGUCUUCUCUCUGACAUUCGCAUGCUGUCACCAGCUGAACAGACCUCGAUGCUGGAGGCUCAGCACAAGGUGGUCUGCCAAUUUGCGCCAAAAUUUGUCUGCUUUUCAUACGCAGCAAUGAAACAGAGAUUGCAUCUGGCAGCCCUGCAUUCCGUUUCUAAUGCGCACAGGAAACAUGCAGAGACGAAGAACUGCGAAAAGCGCUACAGGAUUUCGUAUCCAAAGUACUAGGCGGGACACCAUGUCGUGAAACCUGUCAAAGAGGCCUGCAAUUAUGAUUAUGUCACAGAGCUCAUGGUUGAAUUGCUGCAAUUAAAACAACAGUUCAAUAGCACCCGGAUUGCUAAGCCGGCAUCUUCUUCCAUUCUGUUCUCUCCACCACCAUUAGCAUCAUCUGCGAAGAAAAUUUUAAAGAAUGAAGCAGUGCAGUUGCACCGCUCUAGGUUUAAUUAAUUACAGUAAUUGGAAACAACUUGGCAUGCCAUUUGUCAUGUAUUGCUCCAGCUGGGUUUAGUGUACGUGCGUAAGGUGUCAUCCCAGAUUAGCCUGUGCCAUAUAUGUUUGUAAUUAAUUAAAAAAAUCCUCGCGCUGGAAAGAUGAGACAAAGCGUGCGCAAAAUAUCUCGUCCCAUAUUAGCCUGUGUCCCUGAUAAGACUGUGCAGACUCGACGUGAAAACAUGAUAUGCCCCAAGUUUUAUAUGACAAUGUCUACGAAUGUGCCCUAAUGACAAAUUAGAACCUAGCUGAAGCACGUAUUGUUUCAAAUUAACAUAGCAACUACAAUGAUUUUUUUGAAAAAUGUGAAUGUAUUAUUUUGACAAAUAUGCUGUAAUAAUAGUUUAUCCAUUGUGUGCUAUACUGUUAUUAUAAAAAUGUUAAUGUCAACACCUUUAUUUUUAAAUGUUGGGACCAUGUAGUGUUUUUUGUGUGAUAGUAUUGGUCUGUAAAAGAUGUUUUAAAAGUCAUUUUGUUAAAGGUACUUAAUUUGACUCCAUGACAAGAUGUAUUGCAACAUUGUGCUAGUAAAGCUCAUUUACUUAUUCCGUCCAGUUUUCUAAAACUUGUCGUCAGGUUACAAGUUGUUCUGUUGUUGUGUCUGUGGUAAUUUAUAUUUUUAGAUGUUGCAAUAAACUUGUAUGCAACAUAUAUAUUGUUGUGUUGGAAUGUUUUCUCCAUUUCAAAAACAUCGAGAGUAAAAAUUUGACAUGCUAUUUCUCAUUAAUAAUAUUAAGUCACCUCGCUCGUGGAGAGUUUAGAAAAAUUCAUAUUUAUAUAAAAUCAAGACUAAUUAUUAAAAAAUAUUUAUUAAAAAACAACAGAAAUGAGAUCAUUCAAACUUUGAAGUGAAUGUCGACGUAAAUGAGAUCAAUUUACCAUAAAUAAAAAAUCGUGUGCAGGGAACACAUCGGGUUUCAACAAAAUGGCCAUGUCAGGAUACUAGCAAAAGAAAUAAAACAUCUAUUCUCGGUCAUUUAGUAUUAAAUGACACGACCAUUUACGUAAGAAUUAUUCAUUUCAAAUCAACAGUAUUUAUUUCAACUAGUACGUUGUUGAAGUGUUGAACUUGAACGGUUAGUAAAUUUGGACAGGCAUUCGUACGUCGAUCAGUUUCAGGGAAUAAUUAUAUCUUUUCAAUGUGCCAAUUAUAUUUGUCUGAUUAAAUUAUAAUAAAUUACUUAAACAGUCAAGAUGCGAUGUCCUGUGGAUGUGUACUAUGAAAAAUAAAAACACGUUAUAUGACGAACUUUAAAAAGACAAAAGCUGAUACCGUUUCCUUUGUUAUGAACUCGUAGCAAGUGGUUAACUCAUACGUCACUUCCGGUUGAAACAAAAAUGUCGACUCGAUCACGAAGUGCGAAAAAUCGGCAUAGUUAUCGGCUGUAUACUCGCUGAAUACGAUGGUUUUAAUCGAAUUAUGAUAUGGAAAUGCAUUUAAACGUUAUAAUCUCCCAUAAUAUUGGUGUAUUUCAGGAUUUUUUAGUCGGGUCCGUUGAU